rnacentral:rRNA from 1 species
GGGUCAGUAGGUUGGUCGUGCCACCGGUACGUACUGGUCUCACUGAUUCCUCCUUCCUGAAGAACCGUAAUGCCAUUAAUUUGGUGUUGCGGGGAAACAGGACUGUUGCUUUGAAAAAAUUAGAGUGUUUAAAGCAAGCUAACGCUUGAAUACAUUAGCAUGAAAUAAUGAAAUAGGACGAUCGAUCCUAUUUUGUUGGUUUCUAGGAUUGACGUA